UUGCACUGAAAUUUCAAAAGAAAAGUUCACUCUCUUGGCUUAUAAAAUGCUUGAUACCCCAAAGAUAAUGUUACCAAACUUGCCCACUCCCUCUCCAAACCUCGACCAUGUCGCACAGCAUCACAAAUUCACAAUCAACCUUCCUAGUAUCUAGUAAAUACAAAGAAAUCAUCUUUACUCCUGCUUCCAAAAUCCUAAUAAUAAUCGAAUAAAAAUGGAAACACAUCUCGUCUAUUUCAUAUACUUGAUGACUUUGAAAAUCAUAGCUCCUGCAAUUCUAACUUUUCUGGGCAUAAAAUGGUUGACAAACAAGCUGUUUCAAAACCAUGGAAACAAAAAAUACCACCCAAUUGCUGGAACCAUGUUUCAUCAGCUCAUCAACUUCAAGAGACUUCAUCAUUACAUGACUAAUCUUGCUGCUAAGUAUAAAACUUAUAGAUUGUUAACUCCUUUUAGAAGUGAGAUUUACACCUCUGAUCCUGCUAAUGUGGAGUAUAUUCUCAAGACCAAUUUUGAUAAUUAUGGCAAGGGGGAAUAUAACUAUGGCAAUCUAAGCGAUCUACUAGGUGACGGGAUCUUUGCAGUAGACGGGGAGAAAUGGCGCCACCAAAGGAAAGUAUCAAGCUAUGAGUUUUCUACAAGGGUGUUAAGGGAUUUUAGCAGCAAAAUCUUCCGGAAAAAUGUAGUAAAACUAGCAAAAAUAAUUGCUGAUGCUGCAAAUUCUAACCAAAUCAUGGACAUUCAAGACUUGUUUAUGAAGUCAACAUUAGAUUCUAUAUUUAAAGUUGCAUUUGGAGUUGAGUUAGAUAGUAUGUGUGGCUCAAAUGAAGAAGGAAGAAGAUUUAGUCAGGCUUUUGAUGAUGCUAGUGCUUUAUCCCUGUACCGAUAUGUAGACAUCUUCUGGCGCAUAAAGAAAUAUCUCAACAUCGGUGCAGAGGCUAAACUGAAGAAAAACAUCAAAAUCGUCGAUGAUUUUGUUUACAGAUUGAUCACUAACAAAGUGGAGCUAAUGAAAAGUUCGGGAAGCAACUAUUCAGAAAUGCAGAUGAAGAAAGAUGAUAUCUUGUCGAGAUUCUUGGAGCAGUGCAACACUGAUUUUAAGUAUUUGAGAGACAUAAUCUUGAACUUUGUGAUUGCUGGCAAAGACACCACGGCAGCUACACUUUCCUGGUUUAUCUACAUGCUUUGUAAACACCAGAAAGUACAGGAAAAGAUUGCUGAAGAGGUAAGGAAAGUUACUAACAUGGAAAAGGUAGGAAGUUUUUCAGAAUUUGAAGCUAGUGUGAGUGAAGAAUCACUUGAAAGGAUGCAGUAUCUACAUGCUGCAUUGACAGAGACUCUCAGACUCUAUCCAGCAGUUCCCGUGGAUGCAAAGAUAUGUUUUUCGGAUGAUACACUUCCUGAUGGUUAUAGUGUGAAGAAAGGGGACAUGGUGUCUUACCAGCCCUAUGCAAUGGGAAGGAUGAGAUUUAUAUGGGGUGAUGAUGCAGAGGAAUAUCGUCCAGAAAGAUGGCUUAAUGAGGAUGGCAUAUUCCAGCCAGAGAAUCCGUUUAAGUUCACAGCCUUUCAGGCAGGUCCACGAAUUUGCCUUGGAAAGGAAUUUGCUUACAGGCAGAUGAAGAUUUUUUCUGCUGUUCUGUUGAGCAGUUUCAUCUUCAAACUCAGUGAUGAGAAAAGCACUGUAAAUUAUAGGACAAUGAUAAACCUUCACAUUGAUGGCGGCUUACACAUUCGUGCGCUUCUUCGAGAGUAAAUAGUUGUAUUUAUAGCUUUAACAUACUCAAUCAUAGAAGUAUCUCUCUAAGGUUUAUAUCUUCCACCUUUUUUAUUUAUUUUAACAUGAGCUAACGACUCAGUUUGCUAUGCGUCAAUAAAAUGCUGAAGAUAGGGAAGAAACCAACUAUCAGUACAAGAAGGCGGAUAUUGGCUAGGAAAGAGCAGGCGGGUAUACUGAUUUUUCUUAGUAAGGAACGAAGAUACUUUCUGCUGUACUGUUGAGCAGUUUCAUCUUUAAAUUUGGUAAUGAGGAAAGUACUGCAAGUUACAUAACAAUAUUAACCCUUCAAAUCAAUGAUGGCUUAUUUUUUCGGGCUAUCCUCGAAAAUACGGCCACCAGAAGAAUUAGAAAUCAAAGGUCCCCCCUCUCCUCCCUCUCCUAUGCAGCUGCAUGAUGUGAUACCAUACUGUAGAAGUUCACCUAAAUUGAAACUAACGAUGGUCCUCGUACUUUCUUUUUCUUCUUUUUGGCAAGUAAAAUGGUCCUUGUACUUUCAACGAAGGUAUAUGUCUGUCCAACUAACUAAUACAAGUAUAUUUACUCUUGGAGAUCAUCAAUACUUUCAAGCUGCACUAAUUUCUGGAGUUAGUGAAGUCAAUCAUCUCAAAGGACAGUGCUAUAUAUUUUUUAAAAAAAUUGCAUUUCAUUCAAUGCUGGGACCAAAGAUAUUCGUUCAGAGCACACAAAAGCCUUCAUACUACCAGCUACAAAAUUUCAUAAUGGAGUUGAUAAAAAGUUACGUGCAGGUAUCAUAACAAAUCUGGGGAAGUGCUCACGGGAGGAAGGUGACUUCCUGGUCUGUUAGUCCACCCUUUACGACUUCUAUAGGCCUCAAUAGCCUGUAAACGUAGCCUCUCACGUGAAGCAUCUAGAGUUUUCUUGUGUGCCUGUACAGGUGUAGAGAAAUUUUUUUGAUCAAGAAAUGUAAUAAUAUGCAACACAAAAGAUUGUAGAUAAUAUGCUCCUUACAGGAUUAAAAGACAACUUCGGUGGAGCUUCGACAACCUCCCCAAAUUUGACAACAUCUUGCUUUGGAAGAUCUAGAAUCUCCUCUGGCUUGCCUUUCUUUAUUUUCUUUUUCUUUGCUUUUAAAAACCUGUAUCACGACAUGGGCUAAAAUUAAUACAAGUUCAGAUGCACCAAAACAAGGAAGCAUGGAUCAUGAUAGAAACAUCCAAGUCGCAUCUGGGUCAGCACAAUAUUUGAAACAAUCUCAUAUGCAAGCAAAGAUGCUUUCAUUUCAUUCCUGCUCAAGAGGGCUUUUUUUAAAAAGUAAGAAAAACAUUUUCUGUUUUUUUUUUUGGGGGUGGGGGGGGUCAAAUAAUGUGAAGGCUUACUCUUUCUUCCUCUGCUUUCUUUUUGAAACAACACCCAACUUUUCCAGCUCUGCUUCAAACCGAAGGUCAUUUGCCUGCUUUUUCUUUCGUUUCUUUUUCACUGUCUCUUCAUUUGCUUCUUUGCUCACGAUUUCUUGAGGAACCGUUGU